UAGGGAAUCUUCGGCAAUGGGGGGAACCCUGACCGAGCAACGCCGCGUGAGUGAAGAAGGUUUUCGGAUCGUAAAGCUCUGUUGUUAAGGAAGAACGAGUGUGAGAAUGGAAAGUUCAUGCUGUGACGGUACUUAACCAGAAAGGGACGGCUAACUACGUGCCAGCAGCCGCGGUAAUACGUAGGUCCCGAGCGUUGUCCGGAUUUAUUGGGCGUAAAGCGAGCGCAGGCGGUUAGAAAAGUCUGAAGUGAAAGGCAGUGGCUCAACCAUUGUAGGCUUUGGAAACUGUUUAACUUGAGUGCAGAAGGGGAAAGUGGAAUUCCAUGUGUAGCGGUGAAAUGCGUAGAUAUAUGGAGGAGCACCGGUGGCGAAAGCGGCUCUCUGGUCUGUAACUGACGCUGAGGCUCGAAAGCGUGGGGAGCGAACAGG
rnacentral:rRNA from 1 species